GUUGUGGCUCAGUGGUACAGCACCUGCCUGGCAUGUGUGAGGCCCUGGGUUCAACCCUCAGCACCACA
rnacentral:tRNA from 1 species